rnacentral:rRNA from 1 species
GACGAACGCUGGCGGCGUGCUUAACACAUGCAAGUCGAGCGGAGCGGCGCACGGGUGAGUAACUCGUGAGUAACUGCCCCCCUCUCUGGGAUAACAGUUGGAAACGGCUGCCAAUACCGGAUAGUGGGGGAUGACUCGCGUCCUAUCAGCUUGUUGGUGGGGUAGUGGCCUACCAAGGCGACGACGGGUAGCCGGCCUGAGAGGGCGACCGGCCUCAUUGGGCUGAGGUACGGCCCAAACUCCUACGGGGGGCAGCGGUGGGGAAUAUUGCACAAUGGGGGAAACCCUGAUUCCGCAACGCCGCGGGCGGGAUGAAGGCCUUCCGGUUGUAAACCGCUUUCAGCCAUUACGCGGUAGUGGCAGAAGAAGCACCGGCUAACUACGUGCCAGCCGCCGCGGUAAUUC